rnacentral:rRNA from 1 species
GCAGUCGAACGGUGAAGCAGGAGCUUGCUCUUGUGGAUCAGUGGCGAACGGGUGAGUAACACGUGAGCAACCUGCCCCGGACUCUGGGAUAAGCGCUGGAAACGGCGUCUAAUACUGGAUACGAGUAGCGACCGCAUGGUCAGCUAUUGGAAAGAAUUUCGGUCUGGGAUGGGCUCGCGGCCUAUCAGCUUGUUGGUGAGGUAAUGGCUCACCAAGGCGUCGACGGGUAGCCGGCCUGAGAGGGUGACCGGCCACACUGGGACUGAGACACGGCCCAGACUCCUACGGGAGGCAGCAGUGGGGAAUAUUGCACAAUGGGCGCAAGCCUGAUGCAGCAACGCCGCGUGAGGGAUGACGGCCUUCGGGUUGUAAACCUCUUUUAGUAGGGAAGAAGCGAAAGUGACGGUACCUGCAGAAAAAGCGCCGGCUAACUACGUGCCAGCAGCCGGGGGUAAUAUC